GGAUGAAUCUUCCGCAAUGGGCGCAAGCCUGACGGAGCAAUGCCGCGUGUGGGAUGAAGCGGCUACGCCGUGUAAACCACUGUCAGGGACUAGAACCAAUGAUCAGUCCCAAAGGAAGAGCCGGCUAACCCUGUGCCAGCAGCCGCGGUAAUACAGGGGGCUCGAGCGUUAAUCGGAAUCACUGGGCUUAAAGGGUGCGUAGGUGGCUUGCCAAGCGUCCUGUGAAAUCCCACGGCUCAACCGUGGAACC
rnacentral:rRNA from 1 species